GCGGCGCCGGUCCGGCCGCGGCGCCGCGCGGCACCGGGGUGGGCCGCCACCGAGGCUCAGGCGCCCGUCCUGGGUUUCCUCCCACGCGUGGUGAUGCUGAAAGGGUCCGCGAGGGAAGGUGAUGCACCGGCCGAGCUGUCACGGGGAAGGGAGGCUCGGGGUGACCCCGGCUUCCCAGAAUUGGGGCUCUGCUGUGUAAAGGGGAUGACUGCAGGACACAGCGUCUUGUAGGCUGGGGCCCCUAGGUCCGCAGAGUGCCCUCUCGGGACCUCUGGCCCGGUCCUGGGGGAAGCGAGCUGUGGCUAACUGGAGGGCCGUGGUGGGCGGUGGGGUCUUGCUGCGAAGCGGAGGGCCGUGACCCCAGGCGAGCCUGCUCCUUUCAGCACAAGGACCCUGAAACCUUGCUGGUCAGGUGUCACUUAGGUAUUUAGAGAACGACUAUAGGGAUGAGUGGCGGUAGGGGCGUGCUGUGUUGAUAAGAAGAAAAUAAUUCACUCCUGCUUGCCAUGCCCUGAAUAAAGUCAGUUAUAUACCUCUUACAUUUACAGUCAUUAUUAGUAAAUACUGUAAAUACCAUGGAACAAUGUGAAGGUUAUUCAAGGGGGUGAGGAGACAAAACACUAUGUACCGUAUGGUCCCGUUUUUAAAAACUGUGAUUUAUGGAGAAAGGCAGAAAAGACUGGAUAGAUAAACACCAAUAAGUCUCUCAGUGAUUGGUGGAAUUGUGAGUAAUUUUACUUUUUUAUUUAUCUGUAAGGGACACAUUAGUAAUUUAAAAAAACAAGAAUUAGCCAUGACCCCUUUACUCCUAGUACUUUGGGAGGCCAAAGCAGGAAGAUCUCAAGCCCAAGGAGUUUAAGAUCGGCCUGGGCAAUAUAGCGAGACCUUAUCUCUACAAAAAAAAUUAAAAAUCAGCCGGGUGUGGGGGCGCAUGCCUGUAGUCCCAGUUACUGGGGAGAAUGGUGGGAGGAUCGCUUGAGCCCGGGAGCUCGGGGGCUGCAUGAGCGGUGAUCCUACCACUGCACUCCAGCCUGGAUGACAGAGCGGGACUCUGUCUCAAAAAAGAAAAAAAAAAGGAAAGACGACAUUAUUUCCAUCCCAAUACAGAAUGGACCAGGAAAUAGGUAGCAAAUCUAUUCAGUUACUCAAAUGGAACUGCUGGCAACUUUUUAGUGUUUCUCAGAGAAAGAAACUGCUGUCACCAUAAACCGGAGACUGAAUUGAUUUUGUAAAUUGAAAUUAUUUUGAAUAAGUCCGUUGGAACAUUGGAUAAGGCUGGACAUUCUGUGAGAACAAUACCCUGUCCUUAACCAGGCUGAUGAACCGGACUGUAUGUAUCAUAGCAGCAAAGAUAACCUUAGGGUACAACUUUGUAACUUAUUGCAGAAUAUAAACUGUAAAGCUAACAAAGUAUACAUUAUCAAUGCACAGUGAGAGAACCAAUUACUUGGCAACUUGAGAAAGUCCUAAAAAUUGCAGGGCACAAUUUCUCAUUGUACAGGUAAAGUAUUUUUGUUCACCACGCCUUUUUAAACAUUCACCAGUCUCACAGAAUAACUAGUGGUGGCAACAAGCCACCUCAGGGGUUGAUUAAAAAGUACAUGUUUAUUGAUUUCUGUAUGAGCCUGGUAAUAAGCUCACUAAAUUAAUGCCACCUAAAUUGUUCCUUGGUUUACUAACAAAGAAUAACCAUAUUUUUAUGGUCCAAAUGCCAGGUUUACAUAAGAGGCUCAUCAAGAAGGAAAGGAAAAAAUGGUUGCAACUUAAGUGAUUUUCCCCUUCCACUUAGUCCUCCGUUCAUAGGGCCCAAUAGCUUCCUAUCAAGCAUCUCAAAAUCUUUCUGACACCUGGAUUUCAAGAUUUUCCAUUACUUAAUGCAUCCUCUUGAAAGUAUCCCCACACUUUUCCACUACCCAUCAGCGGGAUGCCAUUCAGUAAUGGAAGCUACAUUCCAUGAGAGCAAGAACCUCAUCUGUAUCUCUGUGCCUGAAGGAGCCUGACACAUAGUAUUUAAUAAGUACUCAAUAAAAAUCUGCUUUAUGAAAAUAGCCUUAUUUGUUCACUACCUAUCUUACUAGUUCCUGAGAUAUUUGAAAAGUUAUCUAUUCUAUUAGAGUGUCAGCAAAAUUCUGGGAUGCUGAGAUCCUGUAGAGUUAUAGCCUUGGUUUGGUUCAGUUACUUUUCAAAGUUCCAGCUAAAUCCUAAGGCAUUCACAAGGGUGAGGUGCAGGUGUCUGAAUAUUUGGGCAUUAAUAAGCCAGAUAGCACUAUUCUGUGGCUUUCCAAGGUCAAUUAAAUUCUUUCCCCCAGUGAGAAAGAACAUCAGCCUUAGAACUCAGCUUUAGUUCUAGCUUCAAACCAAUUGGCUUUGGACACUUCUUAAUUUUACAGCUCCUGGUUUUUCUAACCACUCUUAGGGCUCUAAAAACCAUUUACUGUUUUUUUAGAGAAAUCAACUAACCAUUCUACGUCCUAGCAUUAUAUUUUUCAAAAAUUUCCCCAGUAGAAGUAAAAGCAAUUUUACCAGUAACCUUUACUAACUUUUCUGAAAUUGAGAUGCCUCCCUAGACCUAAAAAAAGUUAUUUCUAAAUUUAGAGUCAGCUACUAGUAGUCGCUGUCUUUAUUCAGAGUGAUCAUAGUUCAUUGUAGACCAGCAAAAAAAAACUAAAAAAACAAAAUCUAACUUUUUUUAACAAGAUUACAUUUUGGGGCUUCGUCUCUACCCAGCAGAGGAAAACAGGGUGGGAGAUAAAACAUUCCAUCUAAGCAAUUUCUCAAGCCUUACAGCCUCUUACUUCUGCCCAGCAGAUCUUAAGUAGCAAAAUAAAUACACUUUGUAUGAAUAAAGAGUGGAACAUUUGGGGAGGUAAGUCAAAGAGAUAGCUUCCAAGUCACUUGUAAUAAAUAUAUCUGGAACGAAAAACCAUUUUCUUCACAAGUCAGAUUUGUAAUUACCAAAUUAGACAUUGCUUGGUGCUAAAGAGCUGGAUGCUGAGAGAUUGCCCCUCUCCUCCCAUUGCACUGAGCCUUAACCUCCUGAAUUCCUGUUGAGCACUUGUAGGUAUCUGGGGUGGCUUUGCUCAGCUUUCAUAGCUGAGCAAACUCAACUGUGUCCAUGUUGAAAAAAUAAAAGAAAUUCCACCAAAUAUUUUGUUAUACUUUAUUUAUAAGAGAAUAUUUUGUGCCAUAAUAAAAUAUUUUAAAGGGCUCCCUUGAUACAAUACAC
rnacentral:lncRNA from 1 species